UACGGGGGGGGCAAGCGUUGUUCGGAAUUACUGGGCGUAAAGGGCUCGUAGGCGGCCAACUAAGUCAGACGUGAAAUCCCUCGGCUUAACCGGGGAACUGCGUCUGAUACUGGAUGGCUUGAGUUUGGGAGAGGGAUGCGGAAUUCCAGGUGUAGCGGUGAAAUGCGUAGAUAUCUAGAGGAACACCGGUGGCGAAGGCGGCAUCCUGGACCAACACUGACGCUGAGUGAGCGAAAGCCAGGGGAGCAAACGGG
rnacentral:rRNA from 1 species